CCAGACUCCUACGGGAGGCAGCAGUGGGGGAUAUUGCACAAUGGGGGGAACCCUGAUGCAGCGACGCCGCGUGGGUGAAGGAGUAUUUCGGUAUGUAAAGCCCUAUCGGCAGGGAAGAAGCAAGACGGUACCUGACUAAGAAGCCCCGGCUAACUACGUGCCAGCAGCCGCGGUAAUACGUAGGGGGCGAGCGUUAUCCGGAUUUACUGGGUGUAAAGGGAGCGUAGACGGCCAUGCAAGCUCGGUGUGAAAGGUGCGGGCACAACCCGCAGACUGCACUGAGAACUGUAUGGCUGGAGUGCCGGAGGGGCAGGCGGAAUUCCUGGUGUAGCGGUGAAAUGCGUAGAUAUUAGGAGGAACACCGGUGGCGAAGGCGGCCUGCUGGACGGCGACUGACGUUGAGGCUCGAAAGCGUGGGGAGCGAACAGGAUUAGAUACCCCCGUACAU
rnacentral:rRNA from 1 species